CCCUUAGACGUUCUGGGCCGCACGCGCGCUACACUGACGAAGGCAACGAGCUUUCCUUUACCGAAAGGUACGGGUAAUCUUUUGAAACUUCGUCGUGCUGGGGAUAGAUCCUUGCAAUUUUUGAUCUUAAACGAGGAAUGCCUAGUAAGCGCAAGUCAUCAACUUGCGUUGAUUACGUCCCUGCCCUUUGUACACACCGCCCGUCGCUACUACCGAUUGAAUGGUUUAGUGAGGCCUUCGGAUCCGCGACUCGUUUGUGGAGAAGUUGGACAAACUCAGUCAUUUAGAGGAAGUAAAAGUCGUANCA
rnacentral:rRNA from 1 species